AAUAGAUUUUCUCCCUUGCUGGCUUUGAUGAAGUAAGCUGUUAUAUGGAGAGUCCCAUGUGGAAGGAAUUAAGGGUGACCUCUUCCAAACAGUCAACAAGGAACUGAGUCCUACCAACAGCCAUGUGAACUUGGAAACAGAUCCUACCCCGACGAGAUUCAGGAUAAAAAAUGAUUCAUGUCUUGCUGGAAAAAGGAGAAAAACAGAGCUGAAGUGAGAAGUGAGAAGUGGUAAGGAGCACCAAUAGGAACAACAUAUGAGCAAAUACAUAAAGCUCCAAACAUCUGAUACCAUCUAAGAAGAGCCAGAUCCCAAACGUGUUCCAGGAUGUUAGCUUUGAACAAACCUUGGCUGAUGCUGGCUUCAACUUUCUGUAGCGUGCACAGUGACUGAUGGAAUGACACCUGCUGUUUACCUGACACUCACCUUCAGUUGUACCCUACCCUGGAUUCCUGAAGGAACACAUACCUUAAACCCCUUUCCAACAUAAACCGCUAACCUCUAGUGAUGACAGCAAGACUUAUUCUCCUUUCCUUUCUGAGUGUCCCAGACACUCCAGCUGCUGUUCUUGGUCACUCACACUAUUCAAUAAACUCUUUCACUUUCUCUGGCUCACAUUUGAUUUCUAUUCUGUGUAAAGCCAAGGACCCUCUUGGCUGAUCCUGUGGGACCCCUAUCCAGGUCCUUGGACCCAGCCUGCCAGUACCAUAAGGAGUUGGGGACUGGAAACACUGACCCUAGGAUACUGUGGCCUAACUGUACAUACCGACAAGCAAUACUGGUAAAUUUUUGGUUAUGCAUAGUCUAUAACCAGCUUGGUCAAAAUAUCAAAAGCUAAUUUUUAAAGAUUUCAUAAUAUGUCCUGGAAGUUUCUAAGUAUUUUACAUGGAUUAUCUAAUGUAAUACUCAAGAUUAAAUGUUUUCACUUCUUUGAAGUUAAGAUUAUUUGCAUUUUAUAGGUAAUGAACCUGAGGUACAGUGAGUUGAUGCAACUUCCUGAUCAAACAGCUGCUAAGGGUGAAUCAAAAUCUGUCUCAAAACAAAAGAAAAAGAAAACACAAUAUUCCAAAACCUAUGGGAUUCAGCAAAAGCAGAUGUUGGAGUGAAAUUUAUGCUACAAAUGCCUGUAUUAAGAAAAAAAAUUCAAAUAAACAACAU